UACAGAGGGGGCAAGCGUUGUUCGGAAUUACUGGGCGUAAAGGGCUCGUAGGCGGCCAACUAAGUCAGACGUGAAAUCCCUCGGCUUAACCGGGGAACUGCGUCUGAUACUGGAUGGCUUGAAUCCGGGAGAGGGAUGCGGAAUUCCAGGUGUAGCGGUGAAAUGCGUAGAUAUCUGGAGGAACACCGGUGGCGAAGGCGGCAUCCUGGACCGGCAUUGACGCUGAGGAGCGAAAGCCAGGGGAGCAAACGGG
rnacentral:rRNA from 1 species